rnacentral:rRNA from 1 species
GUGCACCAGGCGAGAAACUCCACAAUGCGCGAAAGCGCGAUGGGGCUAUCCCGAGUGCCGUCCGCUGAGGAUGGCUUUCUCCAGUGUAAGGAGCUGGAGGAAUAAGGAGAGGGCAAGUCUGGUGUCAGCCGCCGCGGUAAUACCAGCUCUCCGAGUGGUAGGGACGUUUAUUGGGCUUAAAGCGUCCGUAGCCGGCUCAACAAGUCCUCCGUUAAAUCCAGCGAUUCAAUCGUUGGACUGCGGGGGAUACUGUUGGGCUAGGGGACGGGAGAGGCCAACGGUAUUCCCGGAGUAGGGGUGAAAUCCUAUAAUUCCGGGAGGACCACCAGUGGCGAAGGCUGUCGGCUAGAACGAGCUCGACGGUGAGGGACGAAAGCUGGGGGAGCGAACCGGAUUAGAUACCCGGGUAGU